rnacentral:rRNA from 1 species
UACGGAGGGGGCUAGCGUUGUUCGGAAUUACUGGGCGUAAAGCGCGCGUAGGCGGAUCUGCAAGUCGGGGGUGAAAUCCCGAGGCUCAACCUCGGAACUGCCUUCGAUACUGCGGGUCUCGAGUCCGGGAGAGGUGAGUGGAAUUCCUAGUGUAGAGGUGAAAUUCGUAGAUAUUAGGAAGAACACCAGUGGCGAAGGCGGCUCACUGGCCCGGUACUGACGCUGAGACGCGAAAGCGUGGGGAGCAAACAGG